rnacentral:rRNA from 1 species
GACGUAGGGGGCGAGCGUUGUCCGGAUUUACUGGGCGUAAAGCGCGUGUAGGCGGCCUGCUAAGUGGCGUGUGAAAACUCACCGCUCAACGGUGAGAGGCCGCGCCAUACUGGUGGGCUUGAGGGUGGCAGAGGGUGAUGGAAUUCCCGGUGUAGAGGUGAAAUGCGUAGAUAUCGGGAGGAACGCCAGUGGCGAAGGCGGUCACCUGGGCCAUCCCUGACGCUGAGACGCGAAUGCUGGGGGAGCGAACGGG